UACGUAGGGUGCAAGCGUUAAUCGGAAUUACUGGGCGUAAAGCGUGCGCAGGCGGUUAUGCAAGACAGAUGUGAAAUCCCCGGGCUCAACCUGGGAACUGCAUUUGUGACUGCAUGGCUAGAGUGCGGCAGAGGGGGAUGGAAUUCCGCGUGUAGCAGUGAAAUGCGUAGAUAUGCGGAGGAACACCGAUGGCGAAGGCAACCCCCUGGGCCUGCACUGACGCUCAUGCACGAAAGCGUGGGGAGCAAACAGG
rnacentral:rRNA from 1 species